CCUACGAGAGGCUGCAGUAGGGAAUCUUUCACAAUGGGCGAAAGCCUGAUGGAGCAACGCCGCGUGCAGGAUGAAGGCCUUCGGGUUGUAAACUGCUUUUAUAAGCGAGAAAUAUGAUGGUAACUUAUGAAUAAGGAUCGGCUAACUACGUGCCAGCAGCCGCGGUCAUACGUAGGAUCCGAGCAUUAUCCGGGGUGACUGGGUGUAAAGAGUUGCGUAGGUGGCAUCAUAAGUAUCUAGUGGAAUCUGGUGGCUCAAACAUUCAGACUAUUAGCUAAACUGGUAAGCUCGGCACCGUUAGGGGGUAAUGGAAUUUCUAGUGUAGGAGUGAAAUCCGUAGAUAUUAGAAGGAAAACCAAUAGCGUAGGCAGGGUACUGGGACGGUUCUGACACUAAGGCACGAAAGCGUAGGGAGCAAACGGGAUUAGAUACCCCUGUAGUC
rnacentral:rRNA from 1 species